rnacentral:misc_RNA from 1 species
AUAGGAAGACUGUAUCCCGCGAGGAGAUCGAGGUAAAUGACGUGAGCAAGGAAAUGGACUUGGAUAUUAUCAAACUGAACAGUCAGGUUGAGAGAGUUAUUGCAGACAGAAUCAGCAAAGAUGGUUAUGGUAAUGUGGUGCCAGAAUAUUUAGUUAAAUGGAAAGGGCUGUCUUAUGCUGAAGCAACUUGGGAGAAGGAUGUUGAUAUUGCUUUUGGUCAAGAUGCCAUCGAUGAGUAUAAGGCUCGUG